rnacentral:rRNA from 1 species
AGAGUUUGAUCCUGGCUCAGGAUGAACGCUAGCGGCAGGCUUAACACAUGCAAGUCGAGGGGUAUAGUUCUUCGGAAUUAGAGACCGGCGCACGGGUGCGUAACGCGUAUGCAAUCUACCUUUUACAGAGGGAUAGCCCAGAGAAAUUUGGAUUAAUACCUCAUAGUAUAGAUCAACCGCAUGGUUGGCCUAUUAAAGUCACAACGGUAAAAGAUGAGCAUGCGUCCCAUUAGCUAGUUGGUAAGGUAACGGCUUACCAAGGCGACGAUGGGUAGGGGUCCUGAGAGGGAGAUCCCCCACACUGGUACUGAGACACGGACCAGACUCCUACGGGAGGCAGCAGUGAGGAAUAUUGGACAAUGGGCGCAAGCCUGAUCCAGCCAUGCCGCGUGCAGGAUGACGGUCCUAUGGAUUGUAAACUGCUUUUGCACAGGAAGAAACAACUCUACGUGUAGAGUCUUGACGGUACUGUGAGAAUAAGGAUCGGCUAACUCCGUGCCAGCAGCCGCGGUAAUACGGAGGAUCCAAGCGUUAUCCGGAAUCAUUGGGUUUAAAGGGUCCGUAGGCGGUUUAGUAAGUCAGUGGUGAAAGCCCAUCGCUCAACGGUGGAACGGCCAUUGAUACUGCUAGACUUGAAUUAUUAGGAAGUAACUAGAAUAUGUAGUGUAGCGGUGAAAUGCUUAGAGAUUACAUGGAAUACCAAUUGCGAAGGCAGGUUACUACUAAUGGAUUGACGCUGAUGGACGAAAGCGUGGGUAGCGAACAGGAUUAGAUACCCUGGUAGUCCACGCCGUAAACGAUGGAUACUAGCUGUUGGGAGCGAUCUCAGUGGCUAAGCGAAAGUGAUAAGUAUCCCACCUGGGGAGUACGUCCCAAGAAUGAAAC